GAUGAACGCUGGCGGCGUGCCUAAUACAUGCAAGUCGAGCGAACGGACGAGAAGCUUGCUUUUCUGAUGUUAGCGGCGGACGGGUGAGUAACACGUGGAUAACCUACCUAUAAGACUGGGAUAACUUCGGGAAACCGGAGCUAAUACCGGAUAAUAUUUUGAACCGCAUGGUUCAAAAGUGAAAGACGGUCUUGCUGUCACUUAUAGAUGGAUCCGCGCUGCAUUAGCUAGUUGGUAAGGUAACGGCUUACCAAGGCAACGAUGCAUAGCCGACCUGAGAGGGUGAUCGGCCACACUGGAACUGAGACACGGUCCAGACUCCUACGGGAGGCAGCAGUAGGGAAUCUUCCGCAAUGGGCGAAAGCCUGUCGGAGCAACGCCGCGUGAGUGAUGAAGGUCUUCGGAUCGUAAAACUCUGCUAUUAGGGAAGAACAUAUGUGUAAGUAACUGUGCACAUCUUGACGGUACCUAAUCAGAAAGCCACGGCUAACUACGUG
rnacentral:rRNA from 1 species